GACGGACGCUGGCGGCACGCUUAACACAUGCAAGUCGAACGGAGAACAUUGAGCUUGCUUAAUGUUCUUAGUGGCGGACGGGUGAGUAACACGUGAGUAACCUGCCUCUGAGAGUGGGAUAGCUUCUGGAAACGGAUGGUAAUACCGCAUAACAUCAUGGAUUCGCAUGUUUCUAUGAUCAAAGAUUUAUCGCUCAGAGAUGGACUCGCGUCUGAUUAGCUAGUUGGUAAGGUAACGGCUUACCAAGGCGACGAACAGUAGCCGGACUGAGAGGUUGAUCGGCCACAUUGGGACUGAGACACGGCCCAGACUCCUACGGGAGGCAGCAGUGGGGAAAAUUGCACAAUGGGGGAAACCCUGAUGCAGCGAUGCCGCGUGGAGGAAGAAGGUUUUCGGAUUGUAAACUCCUGUUGAAGAGGACGAUAAUGACGGUACUCUUUUAGAAAGCUCCGGCUAACUACGUGCCAGCCGCCGCCGUAA
rnacentral:rRNA from 1 species